UCUCUCUCCCCCUUCGAAACAAUCAGUUUAUAAUCCCAUUUAGCAGAGUCAUGUCGCUUCCAAACGAAGAAAUAAGUCCUCUUCUUCUGAUGCUCAGGUUAUUGAAAGAAUUUUUACUAAGGGUUCAUCGAAGAGCUCUGUGUGUUUACCGUAAGGUACAGUGUUCAUCGAUCUCAACUUUUAAUUUGUUUCUCAAUUUUUUAUAGUUUUGGAUUUGUAAAAACCCUUGAUUGAAUCGGAUAUUGGCAUGGUCCCUUACAGGAG